UGGGGAAUUUUGGACAAUGGGGGAAACCCUGAUCCAGCCAUCCCGCGUGUGCGAUGAAGGCCUUCGGGUUGUAAAGCACUUUUGGCAGGAAAGAAACGUCAUGGGUUAAUACCCCGUGAAACUGACGGUACCUGCAGAAUAAGCACCGGCUAACUACGUGCCAGCAGCCGCGGUAAUACGUAGGGUGCAAGCGUUAAUCGGAAUUACUGGGCGUAAAGCGUGCGCAGGCGGUUCGGAAAGAAAGAUGUGAAAUCCCAAAGCUCAACUUUGGAACUGCAUUUUUAACUACCGGGCUAGAGUGUGUCAGAGGGAGGUGGAAUUCCGCGUGUAGCAGUGAAAUGCGUAGAUAUGCGGAGGAACACCGAUGGCGAAGGCAGCCUCCUGGGAUAACACUGACGCUCAUGCACGAAAGCGUGGGGAGCAAACAGG
rnacentral:rRNA from 1 species